CGCAUAUAAAUGGCACAGUUGGCUUAAGGUUUGCCCGAGAGGCUGAAAAGGAGUGCGGGCUGCAGGAAGCACCCCGCGUCUUCUCCAACGCCCACCCUAAAGGAGCCCAGGAUUGGAUUUGGGGAAACCGUUCUCAGGAGCUCCAGUUUAGAGGUCCCGAAGGAUCCGGGGAGAGCGGGGAGAAAGAGGAGCUCAAGGAAGAGAAGGAGGACGAGGAGGGGGCACUACUAAAAGCGAGCAAUUUUGUCUCAGCAGCAUGUGCACUGGAAGUUGCGCUAAGUGCCUGGGGGUGACCCUGAUCCCUCUAGCUGUGCUUGGGGCCUUGGCUAACAUCCUGCUGUUUUUCCCUGGAGGGAAGGUCAUCGACAACAAUGACAACCUCUCAGAUGAGGUCUGGUACUUUGCCGGAAUCCUGGGAUGCGGCGUCUUGAUGAUCUGUCCCGCGUUGGUGUUCCUGGGUCUGAAGAACAAUGAUUGCUGUGGCUGCUGCGGCAACCAGGGCUGCGGAAAGAGGUUUGCGAUGUUUUCUUCCAUAAUAUUCGCUGGGAUUGGAGUCCUUGGAGCCGGCUAUGCAUUUGCAGUAUCAGUGGUGUCCCUCCACAGAGGUCCAAAAUGCUUGAGCAACUUCAAAAACAGGACAUGGAGCUACCCCUUCGUUGAUGGGAAUUACCUCACUGAUCGUAACCUAUGGGACUUGUGCUUAGAGCCUGAAAACAUAAUUCCCUGGAAUCUAGGCCUGUUCUCUAUAUUGUUGAUCAUCAGUGCCAUCCAGAUUGUUCUUUGUGCCAUCCAGGUGAUCAAUGGUAUCUUUGGCACCCUCUGCGGAGAUUGCCAGUGCUGUGGCUGCUGCGGGUAAACUCGAGUCUCCGCCCGCGACUCUCUCCCACGCUGCUGCUGCCCAGCACAGGGAGAUGGACCAGUGUAACUCCAUGCUACUCACAGUGUACAGAGGGGAAAUCCAGGGUGAUGCAUAUUUAAGUUUUGGGCUCAAAUCCCUUCAGUUCCCACCUAUCUGUUGUCCUGUGUGUCCAUUAUUCCACGGACUGAAGUCUCCUGAUUUUUUUUUAAUUUUAAUCUCUUUGAAAAGCUCUGCUUGGAUAUCCUUCUACCAAAAUUCAGUUGGAAAAUGGAGUUUACUUUUCAUUAAAAAUGUAUUUGGGAAAACCCA